AGAGUUUGAUUAUGGCUCAGGAUGAACGCUGGCGGCGUGCUUAACACAUGCAAGUCGAACGAGGUCCAACCUUCGGGUGAAGACCGAGUGGCGAACGGGUGAGUAACACGUGGGGAACCUGCCCUUCUCUCUGGGAUAACCCCGGGAAACCGAAGCUAAUACCGGAUACUCCUUGCGGACCGCAUGGUCUGCUCGGGAAAGCUCCGGCGGAGAAGGAUGGCCCCGCGGCCCAUUAGCUUGUUGGUGGGGUAACGGCCCACCAAGGCGACGAUGGGUAGCCGAGCUGAGAGGCUGAUCGGCCACACUGGGACUGAGACACGGCCCAGACUCCUACGGGAGGCAGCAGUGGGGAAUCUUGCGCAAUGGGCGAAAGCCUGACGCAGCAACGCCGCGUGCGGGAUGAAGGCUCUCGGGUCGUAAACCGCUUUCAGCAGGGAUGAAAAUGACAGUACCUGCAGAAGAAGCCCCGGCUAAAUACGUGCCAGCAGCCGCGGUAAUACGUAUGGGGCAAGCGUUAUCCGGGUUCAUUGGGCGUAAAGCGCGCGUAGGCGGCUUGUUAAGUCAGGCGUGAAAUCCGGGGGCUCAACUCGCGGCUUGCGUCUGAAACUGGCAGGCUUGAGUCUGGUAGAGGAAAGUGGAAUUCCUGGUGUAGCGGUGAAAUGCGCAGAUAUCAGGAGGAACACCAGUGGCGAAGGCGGCUUUCUGGGCCACGACUGACGCUGAGGCGCGAAAGCUAGGGGAGCGAACAGGAUUAGAUACCCUGGUAGUC
rnacentral:rRNA from 1 species